rnacentral:rRNA from 1 species
UACGUAGGGGGCAAGCGUUGUCCGGAAUUAUUGGGCGUAAAGAGCGUGUAGGCGGUCCGGUAAGUCAGCUGUGAAAGUCAAGGGCUCAACCCUUGAAAGCCGGUUGAUACUGUCGGGCUAGAGUCCGGAAGAGGCGAGUGGAAUUCCCGGUGUAGCGGUGAAAUGCGCAGAUAUCGGGAGGAACACCGGUGGCGAAGGCGGGUCUCUGGGCCGAUACUGACGCUGAGGAGCGAAAGCGUGGGGAGCGAACAGG